rnacentral:lncRNA from 1 species
GCAGAGCACCUAUCAACCCAGAAGCAGUUGUUGUCAUUGGAAUUUUAUGCACUUGUCUAAUUGGGGGCUUUAUUUAUAUCAACAGGUGAAGUUGAAGAGUUAUCUUAUGUACACUUUAGGGAUUGUGGAAUGAAUGAAUGACUGCAUUGCAUGCCAGCUACCUGACUGUAUAAUAGCCAGAUGAUCACCCUUAAUUCAUUUUUCUCUCUGCUAAGAUAAAUCAAACUUUGGUAUAAUUUUUUUUACCCAGUAAAAUCAGGAUCUCUCAUCUUGUUUGGAAAUUUUACAAUAGCACCAGGCAUAGCCCUUAAUAGGAAUUAUUGGUGAAUGAGGAUCCAUAAACCAACCCUAUAUAGUGGGACAAGACUUGAUGGUUAUGGUUAUUGUACAUGUAGGAUGACUUAGCAAAUAUAGUUUUGGCACCCAGCACUAAUAUAAGAAAGUAAUGCUUGUUGAAAUGAGUACAUGUCAAAUAAAUUUGAAGAAAGACAAAUCUUAUAUGCAUCACAUAAACUGCAAUAAAAAGGUAAUUUAAACUUUUAUUUUUCAAUAAUUCUUGUAUUUGCUUUGUCUAGUGGGAUCUUAAACUUCACCUGCCCUUGUGUGCUGAGCAUAUAUUUUGAUGUUUGUUUCUGGUCAACAUUGCAUUACCUCAUGCUUUUAAAAUACAUAAAAAUGGAGGCCUUCAAAUGCAUGAUAGUUUUUAGGCACAAUAUUCUAUGAGCAUCAACUAAAGUAAGUAGUUUAUAAUCAUGGCUGCAGAAUUGAAAAUAAAACAUGAAAAGGUAUUUGUGUACACAUACAAAUAUGCAUACAUUCAAUCACUCAAGCACACAUCUUGUUCUAUAAGAAGCCUACCCAGAAUGUUUCUAAGUUUAGUUUCAGUUUAAUCUUCAAUGGACAAGAAAUUUUGUAAAAUUCCAUGUUUGGACGAUAUUGAAUCGCUCUAUAUUACAAGAAACUGCGUGACAUUGGAUAUUGGUUGUAACAAAGUUGGUCAUGAAAAAAAUGGUCAUUUUUUUCUAUCAUGAAGUAUAAUUAUUUAUGAAAUGCUGGAGUAGGCCUGACUUUGGGAACUUGGUCAGAUUAGGCUAAUUGAGCAUAAGACGUAAGUAAUAUGUCCUAAGUCUAAAGUUAUCUACCUUGUCUUUAAGCAAGGGAAGACUAAAAAAUUGACAUAUCAUUAUAUUCAUACAACACUAAGACCUGAGGAGACUUGUGAAUCUUGACAAGCAUCCCAUUUGCUAUUCUCAUUUACAGAAAAGGUGCAGACAUGCCAGCAUAGAAGUCUUCUGUCAUUCAGCUGAAAUGGGAAUUAAGAAUGAAUUUCAUGCCCUACAACUUCAGAAUGUCUAUGAAAUUUUUUUGCCAUAUCUAAGAAGUCGCUUCUUGGUAUCUUGUAAGCAUGCUUUGAUAGGUGAUAAAUUGUGCUUGUGAAGUGAAGAUCAGGAAUUUGGCACCAUGCUCUUGAUGGGUAAAUUUCUGUGCAACAAGAGGUAUGGAUCUCUCAAAAAUGUUAAAUUCUGCGCUUUAUGGAGGGUAAGGGAAACAUGAUUAAAAUAAAUAUAUCAGGUUUAGUAGAUCAUUGUACUGAAAUAUGUAAACUAGAAAGAAAUUUUAAAGAUCCAGCAAAAGGGCAAAACAAGGAAGAUGAAUGGUCUGAACAUUGGGGAACCAAGAAAGAUAGAAAAGGAAGGGCAGAGGAACUGACUGAUUCUGCUUCUGUGUCUUCUGCAACUAAUUAAUCAAAGAGAGAUAGAGAGCAAUGACUAUUCAAGUCUUAGUGUGCAUUGCAGAUGAAUGUAUAUACAAGGUGCAAUGUUAUUAUUGUUUUCUGUGUGAAGGAAAAUAAAAUCUAAACCAUCUAGAUCAUGACCUUUUGCGAUUUUUUUUAAAAAAAAAAAAAGAGAUUUCCAUCAUUAUAUUAGGUAUGUUCUAGGCUUUUAAGACUUUCUGACAUGUCUUAAAGCAUAUGCAGGAGCUUAUACCAUCCUUUAGGCCCCCUUUCUGCUAGAGGGGUGUCAAACUCUAAUCCGAUUAAUUCAACAGGGGGGGAAAGCAAUUUGUUUCUGAAGUUGACCCUGAAUUUAUUGGUCUUGUAAUUGAAGGGUUCAGUUUGAAGACAAUUAGCAUAUACAAAAAUUAAAGUUUAGGAUCUGAAAUGAAAUUGAGAAGGUUGGGUGUGCAUGAGGGCAGGAAGGAAAGUCAUAUGGAGUAAGACGGGGAAGAAGGUUCCAUUGAGCGGUGAGAGACUAAAUAAAGAAGUCAGAAGAAGAUGAGAAAGAUGUUGCCGCUCCUGCCUUUUGACAGUCCUACUUAUUGAGAAGCGAAGUUCAAAAAAAGAAUUACAAUCCUAGUUUUUAAUACAAAUUUAUUAAGAAUGCUACUUAUAGUAGGAAUCCAAUUUUGUAUAAGAAUCAUAAAAUUACAAGAAAUAAAGUGAAAAAUCUAAACUACCACUAGACAUACCAUUUAUAGUAAAUAGGAAAGCCCAUUGUUGUCACAACCCUGGACCUCACCCAAAAAGACUAAUCGAAAAAUAAUAUUUAAGUUUGUUGGCCCUAUGUAAGUACCUAGAUCUACUCAGUAUAUGGUCGAUGUAGGGCUACACAUGCGCUCAUAUGGGUCCUCACAUAUUCUCUUUGUUUAAGCCUUGGUGUCUUCUCCAGAUUAAGGAUUCAAAUUUAUACAAAUCCAUUCAUAAUAUAAAUCCAAUCAUAAACACCAUAAUUGACCUAUGGUCAACACAAAUGGUUCUGUAUUGUAGUAUUCUCUAGUCCACGUGGGCUAUUGGUCAGGUCAUCCUGUUUGUCACAACCUAGGACCUCAUCUAGAAAAACUAGCUGGAAGGUAUAAUUUGAGUUUCUUGGUCCUAUAUAAAUACCUAAGAUCUACCUAGUGUACAGCCGAUGUGGGAGUCAACACUUGUCUACACAAGUCCUCAAAAAAAUAAGUCAAUAAUUUAGCUCCCCUAUCAGGUCUAUGAUGGCUGAUGAUUUAUAGUGCAGUUUGUUACCUGUAAAUCACAUUUGUUUUGAAAUAACUGAAAUAUUCUGCGAACCGAGAUGAAAGAACGGCUAUUUAAGGCUUGUUUAUGGAAACAGAUCUAACAAAAAUCCAAAUAUAUGUAGAAUUUGAUAUUAUCUAACAAUAUACAUAACAAAGAAAUGUGUGAUAAACUGCAUGAUCAUGAAAUUUUUGGUGUCUUGAGGAAGUUGAAUUGUUCAAGCAUCUGUGAUGACUUCAUCUUGGUUCUGUUGUAUCUGUAUUUGUAAACUAAACUUUAGAACAAGAAGAACCGGUGAUUACAUAUCCUUGAAUUCAUUGUUAUGUGAAUUUUGUAUGAUUUGUUAGUUUAGGUUGAAGGUAGGUUGCAUUGACCUGGUUAUUCUUGGCACACAGUUGUUGUGAGUGGAACAUAAAUUUUGAAGCAGGAAAGAACCUGCAUAUUUCUUUUGAUGGGAUGUUCAUCACAAUAAAAUACUUUAGGUAAUUUUAUAUUCUAUACAUGAUUAUUUUGAUCGGUUUAGUGGCAAUUUAAACGCAAUCAAACCUUCAACUUUUGAAGACUAUAUGUCUUUCCACAUUCAACCCCAUGGCCCUUGGGCAUACUAUCAGCAUUGAGAUGAUUGAUCUAUAAAGCAGGGAUAUAUUAGUGAUGCUUAGAAGAUGGUCAUCUAAAAUCCAGGGCCUUUCAUGUGGAUUUAGUGUUCUUUUUAAAGUGGUUCCUAGUCAUUAAUAGCCUUUGUUAGCAUACACUGCUCUGCUUGUUCUCCAGGAGUGUAUAAUAAUGACCAACCCGGCGAAGUGGCGCCCUAAUUAACUAUUUUGUUCUUUCUGCAGAGUGAAGCAGGGAAAAUCAGUUCUCGCUAGAUCGAAUCAGUCAUUUAGACUUGUCCUGGCAAUAGCAACACUGUACUGUUUGUGGUGUGCUAGUCAGAUAUAUUGGAGAAAUCCUCCUCAGUCAGCAGUGGGGGAAGAGGCAGAUCUUGGCGUUCUCAUAUUUCUUGGCAUCUAUUUUUUCCUCCCACACAGCUUGUGUAUUUUGUCAAUGAAUCAGAAAGAGUACCUCGACACAUCGGAUCAGCUCCCACUGUAACCAUAUAACUUGCACUGAUGCACAAACUUCACGACCAUUCAGCUCAAGAAUUCAUACUCCUGGCGUUCCAGAAGGGAAGAUAGUCUCAUGAUUUGCUGUUGAUGGAAAAUUUAAACUUAUGCUACGGUCAGAUCAAGUUAAUACUACGGUAAGAUUGCAACAGGUGCUAGCCUCUUGGCACUAAUAUCAAAUGGAAUCGGGUGCCUGUAUUUUGAGAUGAAAUUUGUUUGAGUGUUCUGUGAAAUGGAAAAAAAUUUAAAAAAUCUCACCCAUUCAAGGGUAUGUUGUGGUUGUGAAUCAGACAGUUAAUUGCCGCAAAUGUUUAAACUCGGAUCUUUGUUCUCCUUGCUUGCUUUGAAAUUCUUUCUGAAUUGCCCUCACUAGGUGAGUAUUCAAAACCGAGAAGACAUCGAGAUGCGGUAGAAGGAACCUGACAAGUCCUCGGUCAUCCCAUCUAACCUUGUAAGUAACAACUUUGAAAUCUAUGUUCAUCUGAUUGCAGGAGAAAGUAGAGCAAGGGGAGAAUGUGAUUUCAUUGUUGUCCAUAGGUGACAUCCAAUUACAUCUAAUGAUCAAGCGAAAAUUCUAAUAUGCAUCUUAUAAAUUUAGGAGUGAUGCUACGCAUGUCCCGCUCGCAAGAGAGGAUUUAUGUAACCCAUGAAAUUGGCGUGAUAUAUCGGGGUUGGUCGAAUGAUGUAGUUGCGACACCUGUAUCACUGGACCCGGAGGGCUAUUCAUGCGCAGAAACGCUGGCACUCUGCACUAUUUUGCUUAAUUUAGACGUGACUAAUUCUCCAACCACCCCAACUUGGCAUCGGCCUUUAUUUUAUUUAUUUAUUAGUUUUUUAUCUCACAUGUUGCAUGCAGGUUAUAAAAUCACAUAAAUUAUUAUUUGAAAAAAAAUAAAAAUUAUAAUGAUAAUAAUGUAUAUUUAAUAUAUGGAAGAUUGAGAGCUCUUGAGAGCUUAAUAAAAUUCCAAAUGAAAAUAAAAAGAGAGAAGUAUGGGAGUUGAGGGCCUUCUAGGAAAAUGAAAUGGUCAAGCUCAUUUAAUAUAGUUGAUUGAGAGUUCUAACCUAAUAAAAUUCUAAGAAACUACACCAACCCAUUGCUUUUAAUAUUUUAAAUAACUUUUAAAUGCUUUCAAUACUGUAAUUAAUAACAUAAUAUAUAUUUAUGUCACUUUAUAUUAAUGUGGCAUAAUGGGGAUUGAUAUUAUGCCAAACGGCAUGUGAAAAUUUUUUUGCUUAUGUGGAUAGGCUAGAUUGGUAACAUAGUUUCUCUCACUUUCUGCUUUCAUAUAUAUAUAUAUAUAUAUUAAAUUUAUUUAUAAAUCUUAAGCUAUGUCUAAAGUCUAUUUUUUUAUUACUUUUUGAAUAAAUUAUAAAAAUACCCUCCAACUAUAGUCCAAUUUUACUCAUGUUCUUUGACUUUAAAAAAUGCCAAACUAAUCUUUCAAACUUUCGAGAUAUUUCAAAAUGCUGAUGCCAUUUGCUUACCAACAAUCGGUGUUAUCUUUUCAUUUCAAUGGAUGAAAAUGUCCUUGCUCAUAUAGGAGGAAUCAUUAGCGAUGAAGGAAUGGAGAUGGAGAGAGCCGUCAUGGAGGGAGAGGAUAGGAUCACAAAGAUCGAUGUGGAAGAGGAGGGCAGCAUCAAAUACCUCAUAGAUGAGAUUGGAAGAGGAAGAGGGAGAGAAGAAGUUAGGAGGAAGGAGAGGAGAAGAAGUCAUUGGCCAGGGAGAAGCAAAGGUGGGGGGAGAGGGUUUAUGGGCAGGAUUAGACGAGGAUGAAACAAGUAGGAGAAGUGGGUGAGGAGGAAGGGGAGGAGGGAGAAAAAAGGGCCGUCGGCAAGGAAGGGUAGGGGUGGAGGGAGCCACCAUGGAGGAGGGGUGGUCAUGGAUGAGCUUUGAGGAAGAGGAGGAGAAGUGGGUAAAUAGAAAGGGGAGGAGGAGAUGAUGAGGUCGCUCAUGAGGAAGGGAUAGAGGUGGAGGGAACCAUCGUGGAGAGGGACAACUCAUGGGCAGGCUUGGAGGAAGAGAAGGAGAAGUGGGAGAGGAGGAAGAAAAAAAAGGAGGAAGGAGGGGUGGUCGCCGAUGAGAUGGACAGAGGGGGAGGGGCUAUUAUGGAGGAGGAGGGCUCAAAAGCAGACUUGGAGGGGAAGGAGGAAGAGAAAUAGGGGAGGAGGGGGAAAGGAGGAGUCGUCAGCGAGGAAUGAGUAGAGGCAGAGGAGCUACCGUAGAGGAAGAAGGCUUACGGACAGGCUUGAAAGAGGAGGAUGAUGAGGAGAAGAAGUGGGUGAGGAGGAAGAGGAUGAUGGAGGAGGGACAUUAGCGACAAAGGUAGGGAAUGAGAGCAAUCCUGGAGGAAGGAUGAGAAAGGAGAUAUGGAUAAGAGUAGUUUGGUUAUUUUAUAAAAUGAUGGUCAUAUGAUGGUCACAUGAUAUCAUUCCGUUAAUUCUGUUAAUGGAGAUAAAUGGUAGGAUGGCUUCGAAAUAUCUUGAAAAUUUGAAAGACUAGUUUGACCAUGUCAAAGUUGAAGACAUAUAAACGAAAUUGGACUAAAGUUAUGGAGCUGUUUCUAUAAUAUAUUCUGUUAUUUUCUCCAACCUGACCCUACGAAUAGAUUAGGUUAGCAGGAUUUAGGUUAAGCUCAACCCAAAUUUCACCAUGAAGGAAAUGUGCUCCCUGAGAACCAGUUCCAUGGUCAGUACAUAGCUUUUUCAUCUUAAUCUUCAUUGCAAUCUUGUUUUUUUUCUUGUUGAUCAAUUAGUUUAGCAUUUUUUUUGAAGGGAUUUGGAGAGUUCUAUUUUUUAGGAUUUUUGUUGUAUUGUAUGGCAUCGAACAGCAACAACCAACUAAGGACAAUUGGGAGCCUUUUGCCUCCACUAAAUCAGGGAAUGGGCUUGUCGAUCGUCAUCCAUCUGGCUCACAUAGUGUGUGACCAAUCUAAUUUGUUGCUUAAUUAGAUAUAACUAAAUCUUGCAAUGACAUGCAUCCAUCUUGCUCAUAUGGUAUGUGAGCUUCUCGAUGAUUCCAUCCAUCCUUAUCUCAUACCAAUCUAGGCAAUCCUCUACCACAAUGCAGGAAGAACCUUUUUGUGCAAACCAUCGAGUGCCUCCCUACAUGGUGGAAGGUGCAAGAUGAGUGAUGACUUGAGUCCAGCCUACAAUGCUUGUGGGUUAGAUGAGCUGGGUUGGCCAAGCCAUGUUUGGAUUGGUAGGGUCAGGUUUGGACCCAUUUGAUUUCAAAUUUCGAGUAGGGACCCGUGUCUUAUUAUUCGGCCCCUAUUCCAGGUUGGUCGGUAGUGAUGUUCUUAUUGUCUCCUCUGCGGGGCUUUUUUUUUUCUUGUCCCCUAGUUUAGGGCUUCUACUCCCACAGAGUCAAUUGGGGGGAGGGAGGGGUAAACUUUCCUCAUGAAUUUGGCUGAAAAUGGGUUGGGUAAUUCGACCAUUUUCAUACCUGCAUCUUUUGGGUCAGAUUCGGAUGUAAAUUAGAGAGUCCAACUAGAUCUGGAUACGAAUUUGUAUACUUAACUAGGAAAAACUUUGGAUACUAUACGGACUCAAAUAUAGAUAUCUUUGAUUUACUCGGAUUUGGAUUUGGAUAUCCAUUUUAAUACGUAAGUGUAUAUGUAAAGCAUUGGUUCGAUGUUGCUUAGGCUGGAACUAGGCUCAAGCCAGUCUGAUUUCAAGUUAGGCUUCAGGCUAGGCCCGGAAUAGUUUAGGCCAUACUUGGGUCAAUUAUAGGGUCUGUUUAUCUUUCGGAUCGGAUUCAGAUAUAUCUUUGGUCCGGCUUGAGGUCGGUCCAAAUCUGAGCCUAAAUUUCACUCCGAUCAUAGUCCAAAAAAUUCAAACAAUAAUCUGAUCAAAUCCGACCCCAAACAGAUUUAGUCAUUUAUGAGUUGGGCCGAGUUAAUUAGCCAGUUAACUAAGGGCCUGAUAAAAUCUCUCAUCCGAAUCCUAUCUAUUUGUUCAUCUAGAUAAAAGGAUGGUUAAAAACCCCUCUUCCCAUCUUUCGACUUUCGAUCUUCCCCCAUCGGCGACGCCCAUCCUCUCAAGUUUUGGGAGUUUCUCUCUACUGCCACCUCCACCGUCAGUUGGCAACUCUAAGCUUUAUCAAUCACUAUUUGCCAUUCAUCAGCGCCCCAAUUGGUAUGGCUUCUAUUGAUGUUGGUCAUUGUUCGUCGUUCGUCAUUCAUCAGCUUCCUUAAUAGGUACGGUUUCUACAGACUCCCCCUUCUUUCGAUCUUUUCUCAUUACCGAUAAAUCUCAAUUCCUCAUCCUUUUGACAUUUGAGGCCUAGGGUUUUGAUUCUUUUAAAGUUGUCUCCACCUCCACUGUCGGUUGACCUCAUCACCACCUCUCCACCAUUCAUCCUCGAGAGGACCUCGAGUUCUUGCUCAAAAGCUGCCUGUUGCCUGCUUUUAUCACCUACUGGUACAUCUUAUGCCAAUGAUUUCUCCCUCUCUUCACUCUAGUGAUAUGGGUUUUAGGGUUUUAUGAUUAGGACUUAGUUAAGACAUCUAGAUGGCUAACAUCAAUAUUUGUAUAAAACCAUGUGAAAGGCAGAUCUAAUAUUGCCUCUUCUUCACUCUAAUAUAGGUGCAGAUCAUUUAGGCACCAACAAACAUGUACAUCUCUUGCUCAAAUUUUGCCAGCUAAUCCUGAUCCACCACCCUAUUAAGGUCCCAUUAGCAUGUGCAUCUUGAUGUCCUACUAUGCUUAAUACUAAUACUAGGACUUAGACAAUGAAACGAAGUCUCCAUGGCACAAUCAACUACUUCAAGAAAGCCCAUUGGACUUCCAUAUGAACUUAGAUCUUUCACCAUCAAAUAACUUUUUAGAAACGAUGCAAGAACUUUAAAAUUACAUCAAGUACUGAUUAGAAAUAAUAAAUAGUAACAAUACUAAAUGAUUUUGACAUUUUUCUACAAAUACUCAAAGCAAACUAGGGAGCAAAAUAGAACCACAGGCAAUAGCAAUUGAGAUCUAAAUGACCUCCCCACUCACUGAUCUACAAGGGGUUCUACUGCCAUUUUUGAUGCUCUAUAUUUUUGCUAUUUGCCGUUGCUUUGUUCCAUACAUUAGCUACAUGCCAGGGUAUACGAAACUCAUAUACUUGCAACUUAGCAUAUAUGUUGCAUUUGGUAGCUAGCAAUCUAUCUAGAUUGCCGAUAAUUUAAAGUGGUAAUCUAAAUUACUGCAUUUGAUGUAUUUUUUUGGUGGCAAUCCAGAUUACCACUCAUGAGGCAAUCCAGAUUAUCUUGAAGAGAGGUGGCUAUCUAAAUCACCACAUCUUUAAUAAUUUAUAAUAAUAUUUUUGGAUAAAAUUAUUCUCAUCAAAAAAAUAAAAAAUACUUCUUUUUCUUCUUAAAGCUGCUCCUCUUCUCCCCUCAACCUUUCACAAACCCUAGCUAUCGAAUGCUUCGCCUCUCACAUUGCCUUUGGCCGCUUCCACCUCACCUCCACCAUCACCCUCACCAUCGUCUUUGCCUCCACCCCCACCAUUCGCUGCACCACCAUCCGCAUAUGAAACUUGGAUAUUAGUUGGGGCCACGAUCGCCACCGCAUCAUCCUUGCCAUCAUCCUCGUCGAAGAACUAAACUCCCCUUUUCCUUGAUCGCAGCUAAAAAAAGCCAAAUCUCUACCAAAAGGAGCACCGAAACCUAAAAAAAACCCAUAUUUUCAUAGAGAAAUCAGUAAGAAAAUCUAGAAACUAGUGCAAAUCGCUUGAUGAAAUGUGUUUGGGUGGGAGAAAAUCAACGGAAAGAUAGGCGAAGAUGGGGAGUAGAAGGGAGAAACAUGAGGGGGAUGCGAAUAAACAGGGGAGAAGAUACAGAUUUACAUAGCAAGUUUUCAAAAAUAUAAAAAAAGGGAAGGAGAAUGAUAAAAUGAGAGAGAAGAGGGGUGGAGAUCUCCAAAGCCAUGGCCAAUUUUAUCUUUUCAUUUUUUUUUUAAUCUUAUAAACCCAAAUCACAGAGUACUUUGAAAAUUUAUUUUUGUUAAAAAUCUUAUUGGUUUGUAGUUGGUUAAAAAUUUGAUUUCAUUUAAUUAAAUUAACUUUUGUAUCAUGGUAUCUUCGCAUUAAGUAAUGAUCAUUGAUUAGAGAUGAUCAAGUAAUUUUCUUAUCUUUAGGCUUGAAUUGGCUUUUGAAAAUAGUACCUCUCAUGGAUUCUAUGGUAUUGUGCCAUCAAAUCAAGUAUCCUCAUGACCUUCUGCAAAAUAUAUUUAUAUAUGAAGUUAAAUUAAUUGAUAUUUUUUGAUGAAUAUAUUUUAAUUAAAAAAAUAAAAAUUAUGAUCACCCGCGAUGAGGGGUGGCAGUCUGUAGCGGCGAUGGGGGGCAGCGAUCUACGGCCAUGACGGGAUUAGCAACCUCCAGUCAGUGACUGCAACAGGGGUAGCGGCCAGGCACAUUGCCGUCUGGCAGCCAGUUGCCAGACAUGUUGCUGUCUGGCAGCCAUGAUGCUAGGAUGAUACUGAGUGUAAGUCAUAGUAUAUGAAUUUUUAAUAGAAUUAACUUAGAGAUAUUUUGGAUAUUUGAUUUCAUAUUAUCGGUAAUGUGAUUGUCAUACUAAAUAUAUCAAUCAAGAUUCUCAGUAAUUUUAUUGUAAUAUUACCUGCAUAUAUCAAAUACAGUAAUCAAUAUUAAUGGUAACCCAUAUUACUGACAAUCUACAUUUUGCCUGACGGUGUACCAAAUGCUACCAUAGAGUAUAAUCUUUUCAUUUAGUUAAAAGUAGACUAUUUUUUUUUGGUUGGGAUUUGUGACAAUAGAUCUAAAAAUUUUAAGACAUCAUCGUUUUGUUUGUUCAUCAUUGAAUUUAAAUGUGGAAUUUAUUGGCACAAUUGUGGGAAAUUUUUUUUCAAUAUCAUUUAUUUGUUCUUGAUCUUUUUAGGAGGAAAUGAAAUCCUUAUUGUGAGUGGAAGGAAAGAUUCUACAAACAGCAACCAGCUUAAAUGUGUUAUAUUUGAAUUGUUCUUAUGGCUUGGUAAUAUACACUAUAGGUCAAGAAUGAUAGUUUCUGAGUGAGAUGAUAAAUUUACGAGCUAGAUGUUGUAUCAAAAUUCAUAUGAUUUAUAUAUUUUUAAAAAAUAUUCAUGUAAACCAUAACAUGGAGCAUAUCUAAUCUAGUGUUGAGAAAGCAGCAAGUUCGAGUGAUCUAGUCCAAUUACUGCAUCCGAGUGUUUUUAGAGAGCCCAUUUGAUUUUUUGUUAACAGUAGAUCCACUACUUUAUGCCUUUCGGUUAUAUAACUCUCAAAUGCUAGAAUGCUGGUAUGUGCAAUUGGAUUCUUUGCUUGAAAGACAGAAGAUGUGGAGAGGAUACAUUUUAUCUACUCAUUUUAUUUGAAAUGUCAUCUUUGAGUUUAUUACUUGUUGCAUUGCCCAUUAGAAAUUUCCAAGGAAUCGUACUACUUUCCACCAUUUUGAUUAUUUAGAUUUCAUUAUUUUCAUUCUCAACUUUUUUAUAUUAGUCAAUAAUGCAAGAUUUAAAUAACAAGGAAAACUAAUGAUUCUACUGUUUUCCUUUGCAUUGAUAAUGUAUCCGUUGGGUUGGGUGAUGAGUGAGAAUAAAAAUAGCUAAUUUGGAAUGAUUAUUUAAAUAAUAAUUUAAAUGAUUAAUUUUAUCUUUUGUCUAUAGCUUGAGUUUUUGUCAUUUGGAAUGACUAAUUUGAAAAUAUAUACGUAUAUAAUUGUAAAAGGAUGGCAUCAAGAGCUAUGUUCAAUUAAAUUAAAAUUUAAUUAUUUUGAAAUUCUUCAAAAUAAAAUAAUUACAUGUUUUAAUAAAUAUUAAUUUCUUUUAAUAAUUUAUAUUUUUAUUUGGAUAGAUUAUUUUUAUAAAUAUUUAAUUUUAAAAUAAAUGAAAAUAAGAUCGUUGAAUGUACGAAAGGUGAGGAUGACAAAGAUGAAGAUAUUAUUAAAAUUAUUGAUAAUGAUAAAAGUUCUAAUAAUUAUGAGUUUGUUUUCAACUAUAAUAGCUAAAUAGAGUACAAAUGUCAUUAUAAUUGGUGGAUCAAUUUUUUGACUUAUAAUACCCAUGUUGUUUUUUUUAUAAAAUAAUAUCCAUUGAUCAUUAUCAAAAAUAAAAUUUUUUUAUUUUUAUAGAUUUGGAUUAGUCUAAUAUUUAACUCAAAUAAAUAAUUUGGGUCGGAAUUAGACUUGGAUUAAAUUUGAAUCUUAAAUUUAAAAAAUUUGUCGAGCCAAAAUCCAGUCCGAAGCCCAAAAAUAUUUUGGCCCGGGUCCGGGACCGGGCCAUCCCGGCCCGUUCCCUGCCCUAGUGCUGAUCGAGGCGAAUCCGAUCCGCGUUCCACCGAUCCCGUUCCCAAUUCCCUUCGUUUUCCACUUCGAAGUCUUGGAGUGUUGGGGGCUGUUAGGGUUCGUUCCCCUUCCGUAACCCCUUUCCUGCUCCCAAGCGGCGACCGGCGAUCGUCAACGAGCGACCUUUCCGACCGGCGAGUGGAGCAUUCUAACACGAGCAUCCAAGCGCGAUAUCAGGUAUAAACCUUUGUCUCUUUUUUUCUGUUUCCGUGUUUGUUUUGAUGAUUUAUUGGCUGUAAGUUGGGAGGUUGUGGGGUUUUAAUCCCUCGAGGUAGCGUGAAUUAUUCUCGUUUGGAGUGUUUUUUUUAGUCCGGGGGGGAGGGGGUGGGUUACGAGGGAUGUAUGAUUUACCAGGGGCAUCCAUUGGCCGUUAUCAUGGAUUUGGGUGGGCCUUGAUACCAAUAAGUUCUCGCAUGCCUUGUCCACCAGUUCGACGUUUGCUGUUGGAUUCUCUCGCAAGCUUGUCGAUCGUUCCCAUGGCAGUAAGGAGUGGGAGAACUGGUCCAGGUCGCGGUGGGGAAAUCAUUAAUAUCUUGGAUUUUUUUUUUUUUUUUUCUGCUUGUAGAAAAGGAAAAUAGGAAUGGAGGUAGCGUGAUGAUAGAUAAGGAUAUAUAAGAUAGGAUCUGGGAAGCAGAGACUACUGAUUGCUUAAUGAUUUUUAAACUGGAACUAUUGGUGCAUAUACAUUGCAGGUAGGAUGUAGAGUGAAUAAAGCAGCAAUUUGCGACAGACACAUUCACCAAGAAAUAUUGGGAAUGACAUGGACACAUACAUAAGAUAUGGGAGAUUGCAUAAAAGUGUCAAGUGUUAAACUAAAAAUGAGAUGGAAGUGUUGUAUUACUAGCCAAAAAGUUUAAAAAGGAAGAUGGAGGUCCAGUGACUUGCGAGAAUGACAAAAUGAUCUCAAGGCCAUAUCAUUGUGGGUCAUAGAACACCAUUGUCAACUGUAGGAGCUCGGAGGCUUAUGCCCUUUGAAGACUGGUUCUUCAUCCUUUUUCUUUCUUAAUUCAGAGAGGGACAAACCUGCUUGAUCUCCAUCUUCUUCUGCUAUUGCUUUUGGUUCUGUGGGAAAUCAGUUUUUCUGAUUAUGGAGAUAACUCAAAUUUGUAGCUUUGACAUUUCCGUUUUUUUUUUUUUGAUCUAAUAGUUUUCUUAGAGGAAACUUUGCUAAACUUAUGUUGGAAACGCACUGCUUAGUCCUAUUUUCUGUCACCACCUACACCUCGCACGCCUCUCUAAUUAUUUCAAGUACUCAGAGCCCAAUAGGGAAUACUCUUCUCAUUUUCAAUUUUUAGUCUGAUCUUUGGAAGUGGUGAAGUUGGUGGGAGUGGAAAAGUUCAAGAGUCAAGGCCAUCCAAAGCUGAAAUACUCCUUAUUGUUUCGAGUGCUCCAAGCCAAAUGGGCAUUACUCUUAUUAAGUUUUAAUCUCGUUCAGUGGGAAGUUGAGGACACUGUAAGACAAGGGAUGGUCUCAAGCCUCAGAUGCUUCAUGCUGCUCAACCUUGACUGUUUUUAAUGCUGUUCAAGGCUCUAACUAUUGGUUGGCAUGCAUGCCCCCUACUGGUGUGAGCACAAAUGGGAUGUGGCCAAUAAUUGGAUGGCUCUUUCUACUAUUGGGCAUAUUUGUUUGGCUUCCCACCAGAAACGUGUCCGGUGUUGGAGUUUCUACAGGUGCUAGUGUAUGUGGAUUUCAAAAUUUUUCUAAAUCCAAAACGCAGCGAAAAAUUCAGAUUAAAAUACUUUUAAUCUAAGCAUGCGUUUAUCAUAUGAAAGCACCUAUGGAUCUAGUUCAUAUGCUGAAAUUAACAUAAACUGAUUUUAGGAUGAAUGAAAAUCUGUAAUCAAUUCACAUAUCUGAAUCGCUUUUUCUUUGCUUCAAACCUGUAACUGAGAUUGAAUUUAAUUCAAUCCAUGGAUCUGGGGCUGAACAGGUUCUGAAUCAGCAGUACAAGCGUUUUACCUCUACAGGUAUCCACAGGACCGACCUCAAUUGUUUUCUUUUGGAUCCUGCUUGUCUGAACCAAAACUCUGAAUAGACUUGAACCAAGCCUGGAUAGGAAUCAAAUUGCGAAUUUUUUUGAUCUUUCUUUUUUAAUUCUUGAAGAAAUCAAGAACCUUUUUUGAUUCCUCAACUAAUCAAGAAGAACAACAAUUAAGAUGUGGUUCUAACUAACUCUCAACAACUUGAAAGCAAGAGGAUGAAACUACCUAGAACUUGGCGCCAACCAAUUGACACCAAGUAGAAGGAUGCUGUCCACUUCUCUCUAGAUUCAAGGAUGCCUAGAGAGAGAAGGCAUGAGCUAGAGAGAGAGGAGGGGGUGUAGGCACAGUAAGGGUCGCGGCAAAGAUGGGAGGAAGUGAGAGUAUGUGAGAAUGUAAAGAUAGGAUCCUUUAAAUAGACAACAUAAGGGUGUCUUAAUCAAAUUAGGAUCUCUUCUCUUAAUUAUAUUAGAAGUUCUAGCUAUAAUAUAUUUGGACCAAAUAAAUAGGGCGCCACCCAUAACUCACCUAAGUCCACACCCAGUGCUAGGCGCCCAUCAUAUGAGAUCCAAUAAAAUGUCUCAAAUCAGCCCACAUGAUUUCAUAAAUUCUCUUCAAAGAUUCUUAAUGAAUAAAAUCAAGAAACUCUUUCUAGAUUUAAUCCAAGCCAUAAAUUAAAUAUUCAAUCAUUGGAUUUUAUUGAAUCAAAUUCAAUUUGGUUCAAAUCAAGUGUAGAAAUUGGUUAAAACUUAUCAUAUAAAUAAAUCAACCACAAAAAAAAAUUGGGUUCACCCAAGUGCUAGCAAUGUUAACAUGAAUCCAAUAAGAUUUUUUGAAAUCUGUAUUAAUUGAUACUUCAUAAGCUCAAUUAUAACUAAUCUAGGUCUUCUCCCUUUAUAUGUGACUCCAUAGGUUCAAUUUUGUCUGAUAGUGAGACAUACUAUAAUUUCUAUCAUAAGUAUCACUGAAAUCUCUUUCAAUGGGUCGGAACAGUUUCACUCUAAUUCGACAAAAAUCAUUAAUCCAAAACGAUCCUAUUGAGCUCUCAUAAUCCAUCAAUGAUAUCUAGCAAUAUGUAGUGGCAACCAAGCAGAAUUGAAAUAGAACCUCUAGGUGUAGUUAAUGUAUGAUAUAGUCCUAUUAUGAGUCUCGAUUGGAUGGCAGGUCAUGAAUAAAUUAUCAAACCUCAUCAUUAGUCAUAUGAUAGAUCCGAUCAUGUCAAGUCCAUUAGUGAUUUCAAAUGAAAAUUCUUUUUCAUCAAUCAUAUUGCUUUAGUCAUAGGCUUGUGGAUUUAGCUUCUCAAAUCUCAUAGGACUACUCCUCUUUAUCAAGAUCGAUAGAUCUCAUCUAGAUGCACACGUUGCUCGCACAGCUUAACCAACUGAAGCCAACAUCCACUACAAAAACUUAUAAUUGAGUUAAUGUUUAUGUGUAGUCAAACUACAGUAGUCUUACUGUGAGCAACUGUGACACCGUAUGUUAAAAGAUCAGUCACACAAUUACAGCAUCGAGAUAAUCACUAACGAUCGAAUAAAAAUUCAUGUGAUUUCUCGUAUGGUCACGCUCAGUACUAGUUGUUCUCUAACAACUACCCGCACUUUCUACUCAGUAUUUCUACACUAUAAAUUAGAGACUCAUCUAUCCCGAAGGAAGCGAACCGUACAUCGGUCUAUCUGGAAGGAUCACCGUCCCCAUCAUUAUCCUAUGAUCGGAAGCAAUUUAGGAAUCGAUCAUACAUGCCUCUAAUUCUCAAUAUUUGAGAAUAUGUAUCGUAACAUCAAUUUCAAGGAUGAUUCAAGGAUGCAUAACACUUGAAUGAAAAAUAAAAAUUUGCUUUUUAUUAGUUAAAUCAAUAGUUUAAGUAUAAAUAUGUGUCAUAAAAUAAAAAAUGUGUCAGCUAACAAUUGGCUUAUAGGACAUACAUCUAACAUCCGGAUCAUCGUUCAAGCUUGGAUUUUGAAAUUUAUCAUUCUUCUAAGUGGCAGUUUAUUUCUAUAUAAUUAUUAUCCUGAACCUCUUCUAGCAUGCAAUGAUUAGAGUUGGUCAAAAGGCAUGGCUUUAGUCCCUACCCUUUCAAUGGAUUCAGUUCUUUAUGAUGAUUUUGUUUGAUUAAUCUUUGAAAUGGUAUCUAAGUUAUAUCCACAUCUAGAUAGAAACAAAUAUGGAUAUGCUUGCUUCCAGUUUGCAUCUGUAUCCGUUGAGAAUAAAUAUGGAUAUGUGUAAUAUCCGAUUCGUAUUUGUAUCCGUUGAGAAUAAAUAUGGAUAUGCGUAAUAUCCGAUUCGUAUUUGUAUCUGUUUAGAAUAAAUAUGGAUAUGCUUAAUAUCUGAUUCGCAUCCGUAUCCAUUUAGAAUAAAUAUGGAUUAAUUUUGAUAUCUGUUUAAUAUAUGUAUCCGUACCUAUAUCGGCUGAAAAAUAUGGAUAUAUAAAUAUCCAAUGCAUAUCCAUUCUCUUUUCAGCGCUACUCAUGAAGCGACUUCGGAUUAAUUUGAAGCUAGGUAUUCAUUCCCUUGCUCGCUCUCUUAUUUGUUGUUUUAUUUUUUUCUACCCAAUUUUUUACAAAAAUCUAAAGGAAACAUUUUGUAAAGAAUGGACUGCUUUAGUUGAUUAUAUUUUGGAGGUUCUAUUCUCAUGUAAAUUAGAAGCACAUACUGCUAAGAUUCAUGAUAUAUACGAUAUUUUGAUGAUUUUUUUCGUUUUUUGAUUUUCCCCCCUCUACCAUAAAACUUCUGAAUAUGAAAAAUUUUGGGAAUUUUUUGGAUAUUUGUAACAUCUUCUGGUGAAGUAGCAUCGGUCCUGUGAUGGGUGUUGUUGUUUUGGUAAACCCACAUCUUGGUUCUAGCUGCAUGCUGGCCUCCAAGUGAGAGCUUUCCAUCAAAAGAGUGUCCUAUAGUGUUACCAUGAAAUUAUUGUCCAACAACCCUAAAUAUUUCUCUUCCUUAGGUUUGGGAUGGUUGAAGAUGAAUGUCGGCAGAUGUACUGUUGCCCCUGCCAUAGAUGUGUGUGGCCGUGCUGUGUAUUAUUAUUGUUGAGGGAAGUGAAAUAUGUUUAUUUCUUUUUCUCUUCUUAAAAUUAAUUCUUGGCAUCUGCACCAUAUUUACUUUGUCUGGGUUUUUAAUUUUAACUAAUUUCUUGUUCUUGCUUCUGAAUUUGUGUCUGCAGAUAUUUUAGCAGAUUUUGCUGUGCUUUUGUUUUGAAGUUUAUCGCUGUAUCUGAAGAGAAGCAAUGGUUAGUUUAUCAUUUUUCUUUUUAAUCAAAUGUUCUUAUAAUUUACACAAAUUAGUGUUUGCAUCUGGUAAUGAUCAGUACCUUGUGAAUUAAUUAAAAUAAGAAAAGGUAGAAGUUAGCACGUGUGAUAGUUUAAUGUCUGUUUGUUAACUGUAAAAGGCAUAUUUGAUGGUUAGCAUGUGUGACAGUUUAAUCCCUGUUUGUUAACUGUUUAAAAAGGCAUAUUUGAUGUUGAAGGGACACACAUAAACAUCUUUUUGUUUAUGAGUUUUAUAGAAAUGCUUGCACAGGUAACAUGUAUCCAUUUCCCAGUAGGCUGCAUGGGCACUUUGUCAGGCUUGCUGAUAGGAAAAGUAUACCACUAAAUGAACCUAUAAUUUGCUGUCUUUGAUGUGUUAGUAGCACUAUUAGGUUAUAUUCGCAAAUAAUAGCUUUAUUAAAAAGAAAUACAGCAAAGUGAGUUGCAAUAACAUAGAUAUGUUAAAAGAAGAAAUUAGGAGAGUUAAGGAAAAUAAUUAAAAAAUUCAUAUAAAAAUUUAAUUGUUGGUAUAACUGUAUUUAUGUGUAUGCAUACUUAUAUGCGGCUGUAUGUACCAAUUACAAAGUAUCAGCUCUGAACUUGCAUAGAGAUGUACACUAAACUAUAUUAAUAUGAUUAUGUCAACUUGAACUAUGUUGCAUUUGUACCACAUGUUGGUACUUGCACUCAUAGUUCUAUUGGUAACAGGUAACUUUAAUGAUACCAAGGGUAAAACAUGAUCUAUCACUGUGUGAGGAUUGUCUAUAGAGAUCUUUGGUUUCUGGUUUGUUUUUCUGCAGCUGUGCUGGUGCUUGCUAUAUGUGUGAAUUUGUCGGCACGAUUCCUGAGGUGGUCUGAACUAGGUAGAUAGAUAACUAGCAUUAAGAUAGUGCUUUUUGUACUUAUGGAAUGUUACCUAUGAAUCAAUUUUGGAACUUUGGACACUUUAAUGACACUUCAUGACCCUGCUUGACACUAAAGUGAACCACAACCUCAUCACCAUUAAAUGUUAACUUUUGGCUUUUCUAUGUAAGAGUUAUUAAGUUCCAUGCGGAGUAAAUCAUGUCAAAAUUAUGGAGCAAAUAGUCCUAUUGAUUAUUUACUGAAUAUAUUUAUAUAUGUACACAGAUUUGAAGUUUUGGCUCAAGUUGAUACAUUUCAACCUAAAAUGGCUGUGGAUGCUUUUGCUUAUUCAUUAUUUUGAUUUAUAGCAUCAUUAUUCUUCAUUUCUUUUUAAGUAUAUGAUGGGGAUAUUUUUUUUCUUGGUGUUAGAUGAGGAGAUAUCUAAUUCAUAAGGAGUAUUUUCUUAAAAUUAGGCAUGGGUUUUAUAUUUUUUUGGAAGACUUAAGCAUUUGGGAGUCUGGUUCUAAGGACUUCAAGUGAAGUGUAGCUUAUUCUAGAUACAACAUUUUUUUUUAAUCUUCAAGAGUUAUUUUGGGGUAAGGGGUAAAAAUGGGUAUAACCGAUCAAGCCCCUUGAAUAGUGGAUUAGAAGAUCUACGUGUGGAUUAGCCAGAGCUUGGAUUUUAUAGACAUUUAAAUGAAAUGUAUCUAUCUGUCAUCUUAUUUUUGUACUUUAUAAAUUCUUACUGGCUAUAAUUUGAUAACCAGUGCUUGAUCUAAUGGUAUCAUGUUUAUAUUCAUAACUAUAAUCAUAAUCGUGAAGCCUUUUUCCAGCUAUUUGGAAUCGGCUUUACGGAUCGUUAUUCGCCAAGUAUUCCUAUUUAGGACUAUCUCUAUUGUUAUUUUUAAGUUUCCCAUAUCCUUCCUCACAACCUCCAUCCAUGUUAUCUUAGGGUAUCAAGUUUAUAGUCAUAUGUAGUUUUAUGCUAUUGCAGUUUAUUUUUGUUGGGAUACACUAUUAGGCAUUUAAUUAUCAGAUUCUUAAGCAAUUCCAUGUAAUAUAAUUCUUUAACACUCCAUCAUGUCUAAACUGAUAUUCUUUUUAAUGAUUUUUGUACUUUAGGCCUUUGGUCUGGAAACACCAAAACCAUGAAAACCAAAGACGUUGGAUUAUUAAAUAUACUUAAAAAUUGUGUGAUAUUAUUUUCAUCAAAUUCAUUCAUAUUUACCAUGUUUUCCUGUCUUUUCAUAAUCUUUUACAUUUUUGUUUGGGGGUGAAACUCAUAAACUUGAGCUGAACUUGAAAAUCAGUGGACCUUACUAAAACUAGAAAUAAACUCGAGCUUUCAAAACUUGAUUUAUGCUUGCUUGUACAAACAUCUAUAUAAUACAUACAUGUCUUUGUGCCAAAUUCCAUGGAGGUUCCCUUGUGAGAUUUUGCUGGACACUGGACACACAAGGAAUGCUGUAAAAAGGUUUAAUGGUUAUGGUUAUACAGGUAUUUGUGUUUUUGUUUAUGUCUUUGCUUGCUUGUGUGUGUGUUUUUUUUGCCGGGGGGGGGGGUGUGGUGUGUUCAGCAUACUUUUUACUUCAGCAAUUUUUAUUUUAUCCAUUAGUCUGGAACUCAGAACCUGAAGUUAUAUAUAACAAAUAAAUAAUUUAGGUAUAUACUUUUCUUGUUUGUUAGUAUGGCAGUGAGUGGUAGCCUUCAACAAGCAGCAUUAUUUAUGAACAUCUCCUAAUUUUCUUCUUCUAUUGACAUAUUUCUGUAUUGUUGCAUUUUCUCUACUACUGUAUUCGCAGAAAUUUGUUAUGUUAAUAUUAUAUCUAUGAGUUAUUCAAAGGCAUGUCCAGCUAAAUGGCUGAUUAAGUUCUGGCAAUUCUUCAUAAAAUUUACUACUCAGUAUGUUUUAAUUGCAUUCAGUUUCUAGCCCUGUGUGGUGAAUGUGUAUGUUGGAAUUGUGCAAGAAAGAUUUUUUUGGGAAGUAUCUCCUUUUACCAUUUCUGUAUCAAUUUCAUGAGUAAAAUAUGUCUAAUGCAAUGUUGCAGUUUCUUUACUUCAGGUGUAAUAUUUUUGCGAAUAACUGAAGAUGUAUACUGAUUAUUAUACUUGUGGUUUCUAAACAGGCCAGUCUUGCCGAUUCUUUCUUGGCUGACCUUGAAGAUUUAUCUGACAAUGAAGCCCAUCUUGUGAGUUUAUAUGUUAAUUUUAUACUUGAUUACGAUUUUAUUCUAAUAGCUAAUAUUUAGGUGUUUGCAAUUUUAUGUGUGAGCCUCAUCUUUUACCUGUUUCUUUUGUUUCGGUGCUGUAUAUUUCUGCAUCAUGGUCACUUGCUUCUAUGUCGCAUGGAACUUGUCUAUUAGGAUGAUGAGGAAGCUGAUGUAGCAGACAUGGAGGAGGAUGCUGAUGGUGAUAUAGCUGAUAUUGAAGCACUAAACUAUGACGAUCUUGAUAGUGUCUCAAAGCUGCAGAAGACGCAACGCUAUAAUGAUAUUAUGCAGGUGAUGCACCAAACUCUUUAUACGUAUCGUUGUCAUGUUUUUGUAUUAGGGUAAAGCUCACAACUGUGGCAUCUGGUUUUGUGGUUGUCUUGUACAUAUUCAUGGUUAUUGGGCUAUGGUCGCCUCAGCUUUUAUUUGUUUGCAUUUAUAACCUAAAUCUAGAUCAUAUUUCAUAUUUGUCUAUCAUUCAAGGUUGCCUUUUUUGACUGAUUUGAAUUUUUUUUCUCUGUAUCAUGCUCAACUAUUUAUUUUCCUUUCAUCUAAAAUUAAUGAAAGUGUAUUAGGAUAAACUUGAAGGUUCAGCCAUCAUGCAUUUUGUUGCAUGGAUGCUGUUGGCAAAAUUUCCUUUUUAACUUCUAAAGUUUUUAGAGCCAUUUUUUUUAGUUCUUCUUGUUGUCAUAAUGAUUUUGUUGGUUUAUUAAUUUUAUUCUCUUGUCCUGACUCAUAUAUGUAUGUAUAUAUAUAAUACAUACUGGUGAAAUGCAAUGUGCAAAACUUAGGAAGAUCUUUCAGUUUGUCUCGUAUGAUAAUCACUCUUCAUUUCUUGUGAAUCACAGAAAGUUGAAGAUGCACUCCAGAAGGGAUCAGAUAUAUCUAGUCAUGGAACAGUCUUAGAAGAUGAUCCUGAGUAUCAACUUAUUGUUGAUUGCAAUGCUUUAUCUGUCGACAUUGAAAAUGAAAUCAUCAUAAUCCACAAUUUUAUACGUGAUAAGUACCGCUUGAAGUUUCCUGAACUUGAAUCUCUUGUUCAUCACCCAAUUGAUUAUGCUCGGGUUGUGAAGAAGAUUGGAAAUGAGGUGGACUUGACCCUUGUCGACUUGGAGGGCCUUCUACCGUCAGCAAUUAUUAUGGUUGUUUCUGUUACAGCAUCAACUACAAGUGGCAAGCCUCUGUCAGAAGAGAACCUAAAAAAAACAAUUGAUGCAUGUGACCGAGCGCUUGAUCUUGAUAUUGCAAAGAAGAAAGUUCUUGAUUUUGUAGAGAGCAGGAUGGGAUAUAUCGCACCAAAUAUUUCUGCUAUUGUUGGAAGUGCAGUUGCAGCUAAACUUAUGGGAACAGCUGGUGGCUUGUCAGCAUUGGCAAAAAUGCCAGCUUGCAACGUUCAGCUUCUUGGGGCAAAGAAGAAAACCCUUGCUGGAUUUUCCACUGCAACCUCCCAGUUUCGUGUAGGUUAUCUUGAACAAGCUGAGAUUUUUCAGAGCACCCCUCCUUCUUUGAGGACCCGUGCUUGUAGACUGUUGGCUGCAAAAUCAACCCUGGCAGCACGGGUAGACUCAACAAGAGGAGAUCCAACGGGGAAGGCUGGAAGGAACUUGAGAGAGGAAAUCCGUAAGAAGAUUGAGAAGUGGCAAGAGCCACCCCCUGCAAAACAACCAAAACCCCUUCCAGUUCCCGAUUCAGAGCCCAAAAAGAAGAGAGGUGGUCGUCGUCUGCGGAAAAUG